AGAGAGAGAGGAAAGCAGGCUCCCCGCUGAGCAGAGAGCCUGAUUCCGGGCUCGAUCCGGGGAUCAUGACCUGAGCCAAAGGCAGAGGCUCUAACCCACUGAGCCACCCAGGCGCCCCUGGACCCCAGAGUUUUAAACUUCCGUGCGCUGGAGAAUUCUUGUACAGAUGGUGGUGUCAGUUUUCACUUUGUUGACGGGUGAUUCGGAGAACUGGGUGUUCGCCGUGUUCCUACACGUGGCCGGUUGGCCUCCACGUGGACGUCCCAGACGCUUCCCUCCAUCCUUCCCCUCGCCGUGUGGCCUCUGCGACUGGGCGCUGUGUGGCGUGUGUCUGGCCUGCUCGAGUUUCAGUGGCGACUGCAUCUCGUUAAAUCCUCUUCCUGGUCUCGCCUGAUGCUUUUGGCCUCGAUUUUCAUCUUGUCUGACACUGUGUCACUCCCGUGUGUGUGUUUGCCUGGUGACCUUAGCUCGAUUUUUCUAAGUCUGUUUUUUUUUUUUUUCCUUACAAACUUUGAAAUAAUUUAGACUGACGCAGGUUGUGGAACGAGUCUGGGGAGUUCCCGUGGACCCCUCCCCCAGCUUCCCCUAAUGACAGUGUCUUCCCUGUUCCCAGCUGUUUCCCAAACCGGGCCACUGGCGUUGGUACAGCCGUCUCGGCUCAGCAGCCCGCCUUGCUCGAAUGCCGCUGGUUUUCCCAUAGCACCUGCUUUUAGGCAAGGUCAAGGCUAAGGGCACAGUCCUCCAGAUGGCAAAGCUGCCCAGGCCUUCCGACACCCACCGAUCGUUCAGAGGGUUCCUGGUGUUAGCGUCGGGUUGGACAACUCGCUAGAAAGACGGAACUCAUGAAGCCCGUCGUACUGUUGGGGAGGCUCGGGCCGGGGAAGGAUGCAGAUCUGAGCCACCCAAGGGUCAGAGCUGGGAGUGGUCCAGGAGCAGAGCUCCCGGGCCUCCUCUCGUCAGUCCUUCUAGAGAAUCACCAGGCCUGGGGGGGCCUUGGGGACCGCCGGCACCACCAGUGAAACCCGGGUAUAGAGGCCGGUAACCGUCGCUACCACUGCUGGGCCCUGUUCCACCGCCCCCCAAACUUUUUCUGCUCCCCUGCUUGUAGACACGUCCCCGAACCCUGAACCGUUCUGUCACCGUCGUUGUCACUUAGACAACGGGAGGUCAGUGGGGCCAUGUGGUACGUGACCAGUAAGACUGGUUUGUCACUCAGCACGGCAGCCGGGAGACCCCCCCCCCCCCCCCCCCCCCCCCGCCCAGGAUGCUACGUGUCCGCGCCUGUGUCCGCUUCUCUCGCCGCUGGGGGACUUUUGUGCGCGCGGGGGUCCGUCCCUGGGAGGGCGUUGCUGGUCACCUACUAAGCGUGGGUUGAACCUGACAGGACACGGGGUCCGCCUGCUCUGCAGAGCCCGGCCGGGGCCCUCCGCCCUCCAGCAGCACGGGGUGGGGGGCUCCCAGCUCCUCCGCGCCUCGCGGGUGUCCUGGCCGCGGGCCCGGCUGCUUCGACAGGUGUGCGGCGCGCCUCCUUGUGGGCUAAGGCGGAACGUCACUUCCGGUGCGAACGUACCCUGCGUCCUCGCCGGUGAAGACUCGUUCCAGACUUCCGCCCUCUUCCUGUUGUUUUAUCAGUGUUAGAUUUUAAGUUUUUAAAAAAUAGUCCGGAUCAAAGUCUUUUGAGUAUGAGAUUUGUAAAUAUUUGUUCAGUCUGGUUUUUUUUUUCCAUUCUCUUAAAUAAUGACUUUUCUGGGCAAGAUGUUUUAUUUUGGGUGAAAUUUUUUUUCCUGCAUUUUGAAGCAAUUUGUUAAGGUUUUAUUUGACAGAGAGCUCACAAGUAGAGACCACAGCAGACAGAGAUCACAAGCAGGCAGAGAGAGGAGGAGGCCGGCUCCCCGCUGAGCAGAGAGCCCGAUGACCUGAGCUGAAGGCAGAGGCUUAACCCACUGAGCCACCCGGGCGUCUCUGAAACAAUUAUUUUUUAUUCAAGUGUUAUUCAGUGUUACUAGUUGCAGGCGUACAAUAUAAUGAUUCAACAAUCCUACGUAUUUCUCAGUGUUCAUUAAAUGCAGUGAAGGUACGGUGUGGUGUGGGUUUCCGCACUGCUGUAUGUGCCUUUGGGCCCACCACCUCCCCUCUGGUAACCUUUGGAGAACCGUGUGUUCUCUAUAGGUAAGAGUCUGUUUUUGGUUUGUCUGUGUUUUUGCUUGUUCAUUUGCUUUGUUUCUGAGGUGGCACGUAGGAGCAGAAUCGGUCGGCAUCUUUCUCUUAUUUCACUUCGCGUUAUACUUGCUGGGUCCGUGUUUCUGCAGAUGGCAAGAGCUCCUUUUUUAAGAUUUUAUUUAUUAGAGGAUGAGUAUGGUGGAGGGACAGGGAGACCCCCUGCUGAGCAGGGAGCCAGACAUGAGCUCGAUCCCAGGACCCUGGGAUCAUGACCUGAGCUGAAGGCAGACGCUUCACCAGCUGAGCCACCCAGGCGCCCUAAGAUCUCAUUCUUUUUAUAGCUGGGUAAUGUUCUCGGGGUACCUGGGCUCAGUCGGUUAAGUGUCCCAACUCUUGAUUUCAGCUUAGAUCGUGUUUUCAGGGUGGGAAGAUUGAGCCCCCCAUUGGGCCCGUGCUGGGUGAGGAGUCUGCUUAAGAUGCCCGCGCUCUUUCCUUCUGUGCCCCCCAACCCCUCCCAUUGAGCACACGUGCUCGCUCUCUCCCAAAAGGGGGGGUGCAAGGUCUCAUUCUAUGGCUGAGUGAUACUCCUUUGGAUGUAUACCACAUUUUCUGUGUCCACUCAUCUGUGGAUGGACCAGAGGCGGCUUUCACGUUUUGGCCAUUAUAAAUAAUGCUGCAGUAAACACGGGGGCAAAUACCUUUUUGAAUUAGUGUUUUCAUUUUCAUUGGUUCCUCAGAAAGUUAAAAGCAGAAUUACCACAGGACCCAGUAAUUCCACUACGACAUAUUUACUGUUCCUCUUAUCUUUUAGGGAUGGUCUCGCGGGGUCAUGUCUACGAACUCUGCCGAAUCCUAGAUCCCAAAGACUUUUUCCCUCUUUUUCUUCUGGGUUUUCAUCUGUGGCUCACUUUGAGUUCGUUUCUGUGGAAGGCAGGGGCCUUGAGUCAAGGGUGGCUUUCUCGGUGUUCCAACAGCAUUUAUUGAAAUGAUGUUUUCUUCAUUAACUUGCUUUCGGAUUGGUGUCCAAUGUCACAAGAUUUCCUUUUUGGGGGAACGGUGUAAACUACGUCACUGACCUUAGAAGUCUGGGGACUAAUCAGAUCACUGCAUAGUAACGUGUUGCAGUUGUCUGUGGUUUUCACAGAAUUGGUUUAUUUAACCUGUUGAAUUUCUGCACCUGAGGUUCUCAGGAUUCCUGCUGGAGUAUCUUCAGGGAGCCGUCGUGAUCAGCCACCGUCCUUCCCAACAUGAGCCAUCUGUCUCUUUUUCCUUUGGCUAACCCUCUAGCAAGACUGGCCAUUGUAUUGGUAUCUUCGAGGAACUAGCUUUUGAUAUGAUUUUUAUCCAAAAUCAAAAAUCUUGGACUCCCCUGCUUUCUGCUGUUUCCUGUUUUUAUUUUGGUCACUGUCCCUCCGCUGCUGAUGGGUACAUGUUCUAGAAAUGUCAGUCAAGCUCAGUUGCUUCAAAGGUGUUCAGGUCUGCUGCAUUUUGGUGAAAAGACGGCUUACAUUUGCUUGUAAUCUGAUUUAUGCAUUUUACUUUACGGUCCGUGGUUGGGGUCUUGGUUAGCAAGAUCUCACCUGUCCCUGGUAGUAGUAGUUAUUAUUUUAUCUUUUACACGGAUAGUCUACCGGGGGCUGUUCUGUAUGGCAUUUUACUUAGGGAUUUCUGGGUGGUAGUAAAGACUAGGAGUUACCUUUUGAUGCUGUUACUGCAAGUAUCAGUCGACCCUGGUUCUUCUUAAUGAUUUAAGGGGCAACAUGGUGCUGGGAAGGGCCCCUGAAUCCGACCCCGGUGUGCACCAGGCUGUGGGGGUGGCCAGAGUUGGCCUGCCCUGCUCAGGACUUAGCAGGGCUGGGCAGCUGCUGGGUGGCCAUCACCCCUGUCUGAAUGCCUUCCUCUCCAGGCCGUGCCCUCAAUCAUCUUAGCGGUGGGAUGGCACCCGUGCGUCUCCGCAUUUAGCUCUGGGGUCACUAGUGGGGGUCACGGCAGGGUGGGUGGAGGAUAGUGACCCCAGACCAUGCAUCUUCCUUCUGAGGAAUGAACUUUGCCUGGGAGCUGCAGGGGUCCACUCGGACCUCCCUGCCCCUGGUCUGGCCCAGGCAGCCGGCUACUUUUCUCUAUUCGGGCAGGCUCUGGUGCCCAGCUGUUUGACCAAGCACCAGUCUAGCUGUUCCCGUGAGAGACUUUUUAGGUGAGCUCCACAUUCCAGUCCGUUGGCUCUGGAUCACGGCUGUGGCCUCCAGAACGUGGUGACCCUCGUCUAACCAGUUGAAGGCUUAAGAGAAAGGCCUGGGAUGUCGGAGAAGGAAGGAGUCCCUGUCGGCGCGCUCCGGAGCUGCCAGCCCUCACAGUCAGGUGCGCCGGCCUCUUCCGACAGGUCUGUGUCCCUCCCUCUCCCUAAUACCUGGCGGCAGUGGGUGCUGGGGACAGCUGUGACUCCUUUCACAGGCGCUGCUCCUCCGUGGCCGCUUCCUGCCUGGCUCCCGCCCUCCCUGCUCCACCAUCUUUACCAAAAGUCCUGGGGCUCGUCCUCAGGCAGCUGGGAGAUGCUCCGGGUCCCGGGGCUGGAGUCCUCUCAGCUGCAGGCAGAGGCGCACAGGUCACUCUGGGCGUCUUACAGAGAGCUUGGACCUGUGGUCAGCCUGGGCGGAGACCAGGACAGGUGUGCUCAGGUGGGGGACAGCCGUGGGCCUCCGUUCCUAUCUUUUCCAGCAAGAGCUACUAGGCGAUUUGCUCCCUGUCGUGAGGUGAGUGGGCGUCCGAGACAUACCAGUCCACUGCCAGUGGGGACAGACGGAGCCCAGACUCGCCCACCAUGGCGCAGCCCCCCGCCCUUGCUGUCUGUGCUGUGUGUGCUCGGAGCCGCCCACCUGGGGACAAGGGGCCAGCAGGCCACGUCCCCUCCCUUCGGUCGUCCUCUCUGGGGAGGUACCUCUUCUCUGGUUCCCUCAGUAUUCUGUCACCCUCCCCCUCGGGCCCCCCCUCCGAGUGUGCAGGCAGAUGGGGGCGGGGACAGGUGCUGGCCCCCGCAGGCCCAUCCUCACGGCCACUCACCGAGAGCGCCCAGGUUCUCCGUCUGGAAGACCUUCUGCAGGGGCGGGAUGUAGAUCACGGCCAGCUGCCCCAGAACGGACCCCAGCACCGAGUACAGGAACAUGCGGUUCCGGAGAAAACCGAUCUCAACUAUCAGCUUGGUCUGCACGAGGGGGAGGACGCUUUGUCAGCUCAGCGCUUCCCACUGAGAACAGCCCGGGGUCCUGAAGGGCCGGGAGGGAGCACAGCUGGGGGCUCACCUGAGAGCGGCAGGUCAAGGCGUUGAAGAGGUCGAAGAACACAAAGCAGCAGGUGACCUUGCAUCCUGGGAGGUGACAUUGCUACAGCCACACCCACGGAGCAGAAGGUCCCUUCCCAGAAGGAGGGAGGGGAUGGAGAACCUCCCCAGCUCUGGUGUGGCUGCUCGGAAGGGAGGCAGAGCUCACUUCCCUCGACACCUCUGGGCAGGGCCUGGAGCCUCAGGUCCUGGAGCGGAGGAGGCUGCUGUUGGGGACCCUGUGCUCAGGACCGCUGUGCGAGUCCUGGAGGGCCCGGGUCCCCUUCCCCGCCAGGGGGUGCACACAGGCUGCAUGAGGUAGAGAAUCCCCACCUUCCCUGGCAGAAGAUAAAGAGUGUCCCGCUGAUGAUGACGGCUGCUGACAGGAGGGUCUUGAGGAUGAGGGCUCUACCGAGGAUGGUGUCCUUGACGUUCCGCGGUGGCUGCUGGAGGGCGUCUCUGUCCACGGGCUCUACCCCCAAGCUGCUCGGAACACAACACGGGCGCCCGGACGUAAACCACUGAGAAGGGACACUUCAGCCAGCCAGGCAGAGGCCGAACAAGCACAUCUGAGGCGGAGCCCGAACCUUCCAGGCCCUCCGCCCCUUCCACGGUGACCUCCACCCCCAGCCUGGACCCCACGGGCAGCCCUUCCCUCCACCAUUCCUGAGCACCGUGAAGGAAGACCCCCCCCACCCCAGAACUGGCCACACCACGGUCCUGGAAUCACCCCAGGUCCCCUCUCAUGCUCAGGUAACGUCCAUCACAAGGGGACGCCCCAGUGGGCUAGAGAAAUGGGAUCCCGGCCCUGCCCACCGCAGAGCCCCCAGUGACGGAGGGACACCUGCCUCCCGGGGACUGUGAAACAGCAGUGCUGGGGCUAGACCAGCAGGAGGCGGCGCGGGGGGCGCUGAGGAGUAAGUGGGCUGGGGGCCCCUUCACUGCUGGCCCCGCUCCCCACAUGUUGAAGAGGUGCCCUCCUGCUGGGCCCAGGGGGCUGAGUAGGGCUCUUGCCCCUGGCAGCUGUAACCGGUGACACCGAGUGAACGCUGGUAGUGGGAUGCGUGUCAGAUGCAGUCGGAUGGAACGACACGCGGUGUGCAGAGGUGGUCCUUCUGCACCUUUCAGCCCACCUCACGCUCCUUUCUCAGCCAGCCAGCGACUCGCUGACCAGCUGCUGUGUGCCAGGCACCGUUCUAGGAGCCGGGGAGACUGACGGGAACAACAUCACAAACCUUGUCCAAGGGAAGCUGGAUCGGAAUCAGAUAAGCAAGGACAAGGACAUACAUGUAUAUUUUCUCCUCUGGGGAAAAACAAAGCAAGGUACGGUGAUUGAGAGCCAGGAGGCUGCUGUUAGGGUAAUCAGGGAGGACUUCUUGGAGGUGGUGACCUCACGAGAGGCACAGAGCUUUGGAGCUGUGCAGGAGCAUCCCUCACAGACCCUGGCUGCCCAGGCAGGCGCUUCCUCCCCUGCACCGCAGUCAACUUCUCUGGGACUCAUGGGGACAGUGACUGCACCCACACUCCGGGGCGCAGUUCUGGCCGCCCGCCCGGCGCCUCACCUCUGUG